CAAAGAAUCAGACCUGGGCUGAUUGAGUAAAAGUGUAGUGAACUCCGGCUUCUAAGAGCACAUCUCACACUGCUUUACCUACCAAACCAUGCCUACCACAGUGACACCUAAAUUCAAACAAAUAAUAAAUGAAAAUAGAUUUCUUUAAUAUUUGGACUCUAUAUGGGUUUAUAAAUCAUAAAACCAUUUCUUCCUUCCUUUCUGACUGCCAUGUGAGUCACUUUACACAAAUGUCUACAAACCAUGGAAAGAAAUCCAACAUCAAAAAGCAUGACCACCUAUGAAUGGGCACCUUGACCCUGAACGGAGUACAAAUGUUUAAGAAGAGAGCCCUUUGGAUUCUUCAUAUUGUGCUAUUAUUUCAAUUACAAGACUUCAGGGCUUAAUACAGAUCAUUCAUUAAUACAAGAGUCCACACAGGAGAAGUUCGUAUUCAGCUCAAGACACCCUGCAAAUCCCAGACUGGCCUCACAAGGACUAAACAGUCACGGUGCCAGCAUGAAGAAGAGAACUCGUUUGUAUAGUAGAAGCUGAACCAAGUGAAAUUACCUACAUUUAACUGCCUUUGACCUACAAAAAGAGCAAUUUCAUAUGGCUCCACUUCAUUUGUUGUAAACUGGAUGGAUGUGGUCUUGGGAGAACUG